AUAUGAGAAAAUGGAACUGAGAGACCCUGCGAAGGAGGAGAUCCCUGAGAAAAAGCGCAACACCAGCCAGAAGCUCAGCCUCGGAUACCUGCACAUGGCCGUCAGACAGAAGACGGGCAUGAAGACGAGAGCAGGGUCAGACCCUAAAGAACAGCAAGGCCACCUUGGCUAUGGAGCAGACAGUGGACCUGAAAUUGCAACAAGAAACAGAAGCUCAGCCUCGGAUACCUGCACAUGGCCGUCAGACAGAAGACGGGCAUGAAGACGAGAGCAGGGUCAGACCCUAAAGAACAGCAAGGCCACCUUGGCUAUGGAGCAGACAGUGGACCUGAAAUUGCAACAAGAAACAGG
rnacentral:lncRNA from 1 species